GCCCGUUUAGCUCAGCCGGUAGAGCGUUGGACUUUUAAUCCAAAGGCCAAGGUUUCAAGUCCCUUAUCGGGCU
rfam:Ciona savignyi cont_14015, whole genome shotgun sequence.